rnacentral:rRNA from 1 species
UGGGGAAUUUUACACAAUGGGCGAAAGCCUGAUGUAGCAACGCCGCGUGGAGGAUGACGGAUUUAGGUCUGUAAACUCCUUUUAUAGGGGAAGAAAUUUGACGGUACCCUAUGAAUAAGCACCGGCUAACUCCGUGCCAGCAGCCGCGGUAAUACGGGGGGUGCAAGCGUUACUCGGAAUCACUGGGCGUAAAGGGAGCGUAGGCGUUCUAUUAAGUCUUGAGUGAAAGCCCGCAGCCUAACUGCGGAACUGCUCAGGAAACUGAUAGAAUUGAGUAUGGAAGAGGUAGGUGGAAUUUCCAGUGUAGGGGUAAAAUCCGUAGAUAUUGGAAGGAAUACCAGAAGCGAAGGCGACCUACUGGGACAUUACUGACGCUGAGGCUCGAAAGCGUGGGGAGCAAACAG